CUGCAAAGCCAGUACAAGCUGGAGGCAGGGCUUUACAAAGGGGAGCAGAGCAGCUCAGAAGGAGACAGCUGACAGGAACAGAGGGGUGCUCUGAAGGGAAAAUAUUACCCAGGAACUCAUUGCUAACAAAGGAGAGGCAGGCAACUGAGACUGCAGGCCAAAGACUUGAUUAGAUCGGACUACUCCAUCUGAGUCAAUGGGGCUGCCCUGUGCCUACAAGAAAAGAUGUGUGCAGUGUUGCUGUAGCUGUGUCAGACCUAGGAUAUUAGAGCGGCAAGGAGCUGCUGUGUGGGCAAGUCACCUGACCAGUCAGUGCAUCAGUUUCCCUCAUUUGCUUACACAAGUCGAGCACAUGAAGUCCUUACACGCACGCAAAACUCUUAUUGGCAUUUGCUUCCCGUGAACAUUUAUUAUAACCUUCCCCCACCCACCCACAAGUCGUCUACUUGCCUGAAGCAGCUUCCUUCCUUUUUUCUUUUGGUUUGAGAUGCUGGACUAGAGAAAGGGGUCACAUGUGACUAGCUUAGCCUAUUGAAUUUAGAUAAUCUAUCAGAUUCAGCAGGUAUUUGCAGACUGAUAUAAACAACAGCCUUUCCCACAGAACGCUCCCGCUGCACCUCACUUAUAAAUCUCUACAGGACGGCUAUUAUUGAUAUAAGAUUUCAUAUCUGCUGAACAAUAACCACCAGCUGCGAUAAAACUCAUCAUUGUCACCCCUGCUAUAACUACAAUUCAGAUGCUAUUUUCACCCUGUAUGAAUCAAUACCAGGUCAAUAUACACUGUGUUUUAAAUAGGUCUUGGGGACAUUGUUCAGAGCUCUCUAAGUGAAUUCAGUGGAAUCUGAACAGCCUGGCCUGGGGAAAUGGGGCUAAAGAAAAGAUACAAAUGUAAAAAUCCAAAUGUUAGAGCAAGAUGUCCAAACCUAUAUGAAAGAAUUAAGCACUGUCCUUAAAACAUACAUGCCUAGUGCAUGCUAACCUCAGUUUAUCCAUCACUCUGAUGCUUUGUCUUUUAAAAUGUGAUGCCAAACUCCAAAUCAGCUCUGUCAAAUUUCAGUCUGUUUUUCAAAAUUGCUCUUAGCCGUUGCUCGGCAUGACAUGUGUGUGAUAUUGCUCCAAUCAAAGAUAAAAUCAUUACAUUUUCUUUUAAUCAAGAAAAGUAAAUGAAUGUGUUUGUGGAACUGCAGGCAGGGAUAAUAUCUGGCUCCUUGUUCUAUACUUACCAAAUGUGUUUCCUGUGGCCUUCUAAGUAGCGUUUACCAAAAUACUGUGAAUGGUUAAUGUGCAGAUGAGAUGUCAAUAAAGAUCAAAAGGAGGAGUGAAGACAAUGAUUUAUUUCAAUAUGUAAAGGCUAGUGCUUCUAUAUGGAAAACUACUGCAGCCAACAGCCCCAAACUCUGAUUAUUGCUAUCUGCCUACAUUCGAAAGGCGGGGUUUGCAUGAAGGGGGGAGGCUUUGCUUCUAUCAUGUUUUUGUU